rnacentral:rRNA from 1 species
UACGUAGGGGGCAAGCGUUACUCGGAUUUACUGGGCGUAAAGAGAAUUAAGGCGGUCAUGUGAGUCAGUGGUGAAAUCCCUCGGCUCAACUGAGGAAUUGCCUUUGAUACUGCGUGACUUGAGGACAGGAGAGGAAGGCGGAAUUCCCGGUGUAGCGGUGGAAUGCGUAGAUAUCGGGAGGAACACCUGAGGCGAAGGCGGCUUUCUGGACUGGUCCUGACGCUGAUAUUCGAAAGCUAGGGGAGCAAACAGG